rnacentral:lncRNA from 1 species
GACCCAUUGACGUGACACUUUGUGAGAUAGGAGUUUAAAGUUUUAUUAAACUGUUGGUGCAAUAAAACCGAUUUUACAAUUUUUUGAGUUAUCCACUCUUUGAGAGGAGGUGCGAUAUGCAACAUUACGAAGCAUUUCAUAACCUGAGAACCAACAGAGAAGAUAUAGCAGAGCCAUGGAGAUUACAUUUCCGGGAUCUAUGUAUGGACCAACGGCAGGAACUUUACCCUUUAUAACGUUUAUAUUCGUCUUAAUGAUAAAUAAUUUAAUUUGA